rnacentral:rRNA from 1 species
CAGUAGCCGCGGUAAUACGAAGGGGGCUAGCGUUGCUCGGAAUGACUGGGCGUAAAGGGCGCGUAGGCGGCGGCCAAAGUCAGGCGUGAAAUUCCCGGGCUCAACCUGGGGGCUGCGUUUGAUACUUGGUUGCUUGAGUGGGGAAGAGGGUCGUGGAAUUCCCAGUGUAGAGGUGAAAUUCGUAGAUAUUGGGAAGAACACCGGUGGCGAAGGCGGCGACCUGGUCCUUUACUGACGCUGAGGCGCGAAAGCGUGGGGAGCAAACAGGAUUAGAUACCCGUGUAGUCCCUGUCUCUUAUAC